GCAAAGUUCCUGCCGAUGCUUUUCUUUCCUCAAGAUGGACCUGUUCUGAAAACUGGUGGGAUCUAGAAAGGGACAGGGAAAAACCCACAAAAUACACAAAGGACAGUCGCUAUUGUGGUGGGAGGAGUGGCUGGUUUUGGGCUUGGAAUUGCCUGUUUGUUGUUUCUAAAAUCAGCUUUUAAGAAGCGAGAAAACAAGUAUGGAGGAUGAUGAUGAGGGUGAGACUACUACUAUUAUGUGCUUAGCUGCUAAGUUGGAGGGGUGUAAUGUAAAAGAGAGAAGUUUUGCUUUUUUGACUCUGUUUUGCAUUCAGAUAUUUCUUCUCCACCUAGUUCCUUUUUCAUUAGUUUUCUUUCUUUUAAACCAAACAGCCCUAUAUGUCUAAAAAAAUACACAUUUUAGUCAUAGUUGGCCUUUUUCUUUUGAAUGUACAUGCACAGAUUGAAAUAUAUAUAUAUAUAUAUCUAUUUGUGAAUAGUAGCUUUUAGUUGGCAUUAAAGGUUUGUUCUCCACUUUUCUACAUAAAGAGCAAUUAUUAGGUAAUUAAACACACAUGUUCAAGUGAAAUUGUG